AAGCUAGAAAAAAACUUUGAAAUUGUUGUCUACCAUUUUUAAAGAACAGACCCAUCAUUUUAUUAGGGUUUCGGGAUCCCUAUGCCCCAAAUGGUCGCCGCAAUGCCAAAAGAUUAGAGGAAAUUUCUCCCUCCAAAGGCCAACUUCUACGACAGAGGAAGAGUUACCGACGAUGGAGGAGCGAGUCAACUCAGUGUAUUCGUGAAAAAAAAGAAACGACCCCCCUAUUCGCACACUUCCUUCACUGUAAGCAGUGAUUGAUGAUGCGCAGAUGCCAUGGAGAAUCAAAUCUCAAGGAUUGUCCGCUUCGACUUCGAGAUCCCAUCUUUACUUCGAUUGCAACGAAGAAGAUGGGCUACAAUCGCUAAGGUAGGAAGGUACGGAGCUCGGUGGUUGAACGGCGCUGUGCUGGAGAUGAGGAUGAGGGGUUGCAGCGCCUAGUAGCUAGGGUUUUCGCCCUUCGGCUGAAGCUUGUUUUAGUUUUGGGCCGUUUGGGGUAGGGGUAUUUUUGGGCUACUUGGGUUAAUUCGGUUUUGGGUUUUAAAUUUGGGUUUGGGUUUGUAAUUUUUGAGUUUAAAAUUGGGUUGUGUAAUUUGGACUUGUGGACUUUGUAUUAUUUUUUGUUUUGGGAUUGAUUUUUGGUUGUUAGGCCCGGGCGGAUUUGGCCCAUUACAAAGCCAAAUCAAAUAUAAGUUCAAAAGAAAAAGAAAUCACCACUACAAGGUUUGAUACA